UAGACACAAGCCAUCUAUUAAAAUAGAAAACAAAAAAAAAAUGAUGCGCUGGAAAUGGCCGGGAUAGCUCAGUUGGUAGAGCAGAGGACUGAAAAUC
rnacentral:tRNA from 1 species